rnacentral:rRNA from 1 species
AUUGAACGCUGGCGGCAUGCUUUACACAUGCAAGUCGAACGGCAGCACGGGGGCAACCCUGGUGGCGAGUGGCGAACGGGUGAGUAAUAUAUCGGAACGUACCCGGAAAUGGGGGAUAACGUAGCGAAAGUUACGCUAAUACCGCAUAUGCCCUAAGGGGGAAAGCGGGGGAUUCGCAAGAACCUCGCGUUUUCGGAGCGGCCGAUAUCGGAUUAGCUAGUAGGUGAGGUAAAGGCUCACCUAGGCGACGAUCCGUAGCUGGUCUGAGAGGACGACCAGCCACACUGGAACUGAGACACGGUCCAGACUCCUACGGGAGGCAGCAGUGGGGAAUUUUGGACAAUGGGCGCAAGCCUGAUCCAGCCAUGCCGCGUGAGUGAAGAAGGCCUUCGGGUUGUUAAAGGCUCUUUUCAGUCCGGAAAGAAACGACACGGUUAUAACCUGUGUGGAGUGACGGUACCGGAAGAAGAAG